rnacentral:rRNA from 1 species
AGUGAACGCUGGCGGUAGGCCUAACACAUGCAAGUCGAACGGCAGCACAGUAAGAGCUUGCUCUUACGGGUGGCGAGUGGCGGACGGGUGAGGCAUACAUCGGAAUCUACUUUUUCGUGGGGGAUAACGUAGGGAAACUUACGCUAAUACCGCAUACGACCUACGGGUGAAAGCAGGGGAUCUUCGGACCUUGCGCGAUUCAAUGAGCCGAUGUCGGAUUAGCUAGUUGGCGGGGUAAAGGCCCACCAAGGCGACGAUCCGUAGCUGGUCUGAGAGGAUGAUCGGCCACGCUGGAACUGAGACACGGUCCAGACUCCUACGGGAGGCAGCAGUGGGGAAUAUUGGACAAUGGGCGCAAGCCUGAUCCAGCCAUACCGCGUGGGUGAAGAAGGCCUUCGGGUUGUAAAGCCCUUUUGUUGGGAAAGAAAAGCAGCAGGUUAAUACCCCGCUGUUCUGACGGUACCCAAAGAAUAAGCACCGGCUAACUUCGUG